UUUCACUUUCCCUUUCGCUGUAGCUGCUCCCCUCCCCUCCCGACUGUCUGGGGCCGCCCCGCAGGGGAGGGAGUGUGGCUGCAAUCCCCGGCGCCAGGGGUGUUCCCAGAAGCGAGAAGUUGGGGGGAGGGCCCUCCCCAGGGACUAACAGCGCCCGGCUGUGCGGCAUCACCCUCAUCCCUGCACCAGGUGACCCAGGGAUAGCAUUUCUCCGGAGCUGCUGCCCCCGCCUGGGGGCAUGGGCGCAACCACGCCAGAUGGACGAGAAGACCAAGAAAGCCGAGGAGAUGGCCCUGAGACUCACCCGAGCAGUGGCAGGCGGAGAUGAACACGUGGCAGUGCAGUGUGCCAUCUGGCUGGCAGAGCAACGGGUGCCCCUGAGUGUGCAACUGAAGCCUGAGGUCUCCCCAACACAGGACAUCAGGCUGUGGGUGAGUGUGGAGGAUGCUCAGAUGCACACAGUCACCAUCUGGCUCACAGUGCGUCCGGACAUGACAGUGGCUUCCCUCAAGGACAUGGUAUUCCUGGACUACGGCUUUCCACCCGUCCUACAGCAGUGGGUCAUUGGGCAGCGGCUGGCCCGGGACCAGGAAACCCUGCACUCCCAUGGGGUGCGGCGGAAUGGGGACAGCGCCUACCUCUACCUGCUGUCAGCCUGCAACACCUCACUUAACCCCCAGGAGCUGCAGCGGGAGAGGCAGUUGCGGAUGCUGGAAGAUCUGGGCUUCAAGGACCUCACGCUUCAGCCCCGGGGCCCCCUGGAGCCAGCCCCCACCAAGUCCGGAGCCCCCCAGGAGCCGGGGCGGGGCCAGCCCGAAGCCGCUCCCGAACCCCCGCCGGUGGGCUGGCAGUGCCCCGGCUGCACCUUCAUUAACAAGCCCACGAGGCCUGGCUGCGAGAUGUGCUGCCGGGCGCGGCCUGAGGCCUACCAGGUUCCCGCCUCGUACCAGCCGGACGAGGAGGAGAGAGCGCGCCUGGCGGGCGAGGAGGAGGCGCUGCGCCAGUACCAGCAGCGGAAGCAGCAGCAGCAGGAGGGAAACUACCUGCAACACGUCCAGCUGGAUCAGAGGAGCCUGGUGCUGAACACCGAGCCCACCGAGUGCCCCGUGUGCUACUUGGUGCUGGCGCCCGGCGAUGCCGUGGUGCUGCGUGAGUGUCUGCACGCCUUCUGCAGGGAGUGUCUGCAGGGCACCAUCCGCAACAGCCAGGAGGCCGAGGUCUCCUGCCCCUUCAUUGACAACACGUACUCGUGCUCGGGCAAGCUUCUGGAGAGGGAGAUCCGGGCGCUGCUGCCCCCCGAGGAUUACCAGCGAUUUCUGGACCUGGGCGUCUCCAUCGCGGAAAACCGCAGUGCCUUCAGCUACCACUGCAAGACCCCGGACUGUAAGGGAUGGUGCUUCUUUGAGGAUGAUGUCAACGAGUUUACCUGCCCAGUGUGCUUCCACGUCAACUGCCUGCUGUGUAAGGCCAUCCACGAGCAGAUGAACUGCAAGGAGUACCAGGACGACCUGGCCCUGCGGGCCCAGAACGAUGUGGCCGCCAGGCAGACAACAGAGAUGCUCAGGUCCAUGCUGCAGCAGGGCGAGGCCAUGCACUGCCCACAGUGCCGCAUCGUGGUGCAGAAGAAGGACGGCUGUGACUGGAUCCGCUGCACCGUCUGCCACACCGAAAUCUGCUGGGUCACCAAGGGCCCGCGCUGGGGGCCUGGGUAUCGAGAAAAGAAGUUGUUUGGUGUGACACGUGAAAAUGAUGCGAGACGCGAGUUUCACGUCCACAAGCAGCGUGUUCUGGGAGCACAGCCACGUGCAUUCGUUGUGUACCGUCCGUGGCCGCUUUUGCACUACAAAGGCCGAGACCCGAUGGCCCCAGACACCUGAUGGAAGCGGCACUUUGCAGAAAAAGUUUGCUGACCGCACCCUAGAGGGCAGGCCCAGGAGACACCAGUGGGGGCUGCCGUUGCCGGGUGAAUGGGAUUCCUUGCCACCCCAGCUGUCAGAACUGCCACUAGCUGAGGAUGGUCCGGUCCCCACGCUGACCCAGCCCCCCAUCCAUCCCCAUGCUGCUGUGGGACAGGGCUGGUGCUUUGGCUCUCAUUUGUGGCCUGGGAGAUGCCCGUUGUGCUUGGCUGAGACGGAGGCCUUGUGGAGACCAAGGCCCCUGAGCUACGUGGAUGGCUUUGUUUGCAAGGGAUGUUGCAGCCUGACCUCCCAGUGCGUGUUGUCCCUGGCUGCAUCUGCCCCAGUGCCUUUGCCCUCCCUCUGGGGCUUGCUGGCCAGACCUCUCAGCUCUUCUCUGUGGCUCUUCAGAACUCUGCCCGACCCAGACUUAAACACGGCCCUGGCCAGAGAUCUUGCAGGAUGGAAUCUCUGAGAGCCUCGUGUGAGUCCACACUCGCUUCCACCACCCUCGUCUGCUGAACACGUGUAGCCCACUGCUUCGCCAGCGGCGUUGUGGGGCCGGCUUUUCCCUGCCUUUGCGGUCAGAGGCCUGGGGCCUCUUAUAGAACUGCUGCUAGUCCUGUUCAGAGCCCAGAGAGAGACCUGGCGGUUUCUAAAGCACAGCCCAUCGGGUUCAUCGUCCACGGCUCCCUCUUUGCUGCUGUGUAAGCUAAUUAAAAUGGCUUUUCAGGAA